CCUACGGGUGGCAGCAGUGAGGAAUAUUGGUCAAUGGACGGAAGUCUGAACCAGCCAUGUCGCGUGCAGGAAGACGGCUCUAUGAGUUGUAAACUGCUUUUGUACAAGGGUAAAGCUGAACACGUGUAGUCAGUUGUAAGUACUUUACGAAUAAGGAUCGGCUAAAUCCGUGCCAGCAGCCGCGGUAAUACGGAGGAUCCAAGCGUUAUCCGGAUUUAUUGGGUUUAAAGGGUGCGUAGGCGGUUUGAUAAGUUUGGGGGGAAAUGUCCGGGCUUAACUCGGAAAGUGCCGUUGAAACUGUUGGACUAGAGAAUGGGUACGGUAGACGGAAUGUGUGGUGUAGCGGUGAAAUGCUUAGAGAUCAUGCAGAACACCGAUUGCGAAGGCAGCUUACC
rnacentral:rRNA from 1 species